rnacentral:rRNA from 1 species
AUGGGCCAACUUCCACUGCACAUUCACCACCUACAGCUAUUAGCAUCCGUACUGUUGCUGUCAGCGGCGGCUGGGGCAGCAGAUGCUUCGCAUCACGCCGGCAGCAACACCACCGGUGAUCUUGCGGCGCUGCUCGCAUUCAAAUCCCAGCUCUCGGACCCCCUCGGCAUCCUUCGCGAUGGCUGGACAAGAAACAAGUCCUUCUGCAGCUGGGUGGGUGUGUCGUGCAGCCGGCGACAUCAGCAACGUGUGACUGCUGUGUCGCUGCCGGAUAUGCCGCUCCAAGGAGGCCUCAUCCCUCAUCUUGGUAACCUUUCUUUCCUCCAUGUCCUCAACCUCACCAACACAAGCCUCACUGGCUCCAUCCCUGAUGUUCUUGCAAGGUUACCUCGUAUUAGAAUUCUUGACCUUGGCCACAACAGUCUGUCAGGUCCAGUACCUCCUACCAUAUUCAACAUGUCUAGGCUUGAGAUCUUGUUGCUGGGAACCAACAACCUAACUGGGCCUAUACCAAGCAACCAAAGCUUUAAUCUCCCCCUGUUACGAAAGAUAGCCCUCCAUCGGAACAAAUUUACUGGUCAUCUCCCAUCAGGCCUAGAAGACUGCCACAACCUUGAGGUAAUCUCGAUUGGUGGAAAUCUUUUUGUUGAUACUGUGCCAACAUGGCUCGCUAAACUGCCACGACUCUCCUUCGUUUCUAUAGGCCGGAAUGAACUUGUUGGCUCAAUCCCCAGUGUGCUCGGCAACCUAACCAUGCUCUCCGUGCUUGACAUCUCAUUCUGCAACCUAAGCGGCCAGAUUCCAGUGGAACUGGGGAAACUCAGCCAACUCACUGUGCUGCAUCUUUCAUACAAUCAACUUACGGGCUCCUUUCCUGCCUUUCUAGGGAACUUGUCCGAUCUACAGUUCUUGGUAUUGGAAUCAAAUCUGUUGACCGCAACAGUACCAUCAACACUUGGCAACAUUAGAUCUCUUUUUCAUCUUGAUAUCCGAAUGAAUCACCUCCAAGGGAACCUUGAUUUCUUGGGCAGCCUUUGUAACUGUAGGAAGCUUCAAAUCCUUGCCAUAUCAACAAACUCAUUCACUGGGAGUCUUCCUAACUAUGUUGGAAACCUCUCUCAGAAUCUAUUAGAAUUUACAGCAAUCAGGAACAAGUUAACCGGCAGGUUUCCAGCUACACUGUCAAAUCUAAGUGAUAUCCGUAAAAUAAGCUUCAGCGACAACCAACUAACUGGAGAAAUCCCAGAAUCCAUCAUGAUGUUGGAGAAUCUCGAGGCACUUGAUCUCUCUGAAAACAGCAUGACUGGACCAAUCCCCGCACAAUCAGGUAUGCUGAAGAACAUUGUAGUUAUAGCUCUCAAUGAUAAUAAAUUCUCUGGCUCCAUACCAGAUGGCCUAGUAAAUAUUACUACAAUACAGUAUAUUUUCCUGUCCUCUAACAAUCUAUCUUCGACUAUACCAUCACACCUAUUUCAUCUUGAUAACCUUAUAGAAUUAAGUCUGUUCCAUAACACCCUAACAGGAGCCUUGCCUUCUGACCUAAGCCACAUGCAAGCCAUUGACAAAAUAGACUUAUCUUCUAAUCUCUUCGUUGGUCGCCUCCCUAGUUCAUUUGGACAGCUUGUGAUGUUAAGCUAUCUAAAUCUAUCUCAGAACUCAUUUGACGAUUCAAUACCAGAUAGUUUUCAUCAUUUGACCAACUUAGCAACUCUGGACCUAUCCUAUAACAAUCUUUCAGGUGGAAUACCAAAUUACCUUGCAAAUUUUACCUACCUUACUGAUCUGAACCUCUCCUUUAAUGAGCUACAAGGGCAAAUACCAAAUGGAGGUGUUUUCUCAAGCCUAAGCUUGCAAUCAUUGAUUGGGAAUAAGGGGCUGUGCGGUGCUCCACGUAUUGGAUUCUCACCAUGUUUGGACAAGUCAACUCAUAGUCAGCACUUUCUCAGGUUCAUACUCCCUGCUGGCAUCGUAGCAGUUGGUGCCUUAGCAGCGUGUGUAUACCUUCUUGACAAAAGGAAGAAGAAAAAGCAUCAAAAUGUUACAAAUUCCAUUCACAUAGCUGAUGUUAUCAGACACAAGUUAGUAUCCUACCAUGAGAUUGCACGUGCUACAGAAAACUUCAACGAGAGCAACCUCCUUGGAGCUGGAAACUUUGGCAAAGUUUUCAAGGCCCAACUGGGUCAUGGUUUGGUGGUUGCAGUAAAAGUGCUCAACAUGCAUGUCGAGCGAGCCAUGAGGAGCUUUGAUGCUGAAUGUGAAGUGUUGCGGAUGGCUAGGCAUCGCAACUUAAUAAGGAUACUGAAUACUUGUUCCAACAUGGAUUUCAGAGCAUUGUUGCUUCAGUACAUGCCGAAUGGCAGCUUGGAGUCACAUUUGCACGGAGGAAUUAGGGAACCACUGGGGUUCAUCAAAAGAUUGGAUGCUAUGCUUGGCGUGGCUGAGGCAAUGGAAUAUCUGCACCAUCAUCAUCAUCAAGUUGUCCUACACUGUGACCUCAAACCUAGUAAUGUGUUAUUCGAUGAGGAGAUGACAUCACAUGUUGCGGACUUUGGAAUUGCUAAAUUACUUACCGGUGAUGACAACUCCAUGAUUUCAGCAAGUAUGCCAGGAACAAUUGGGUACAUGGCACCAGAGCUUGCACUCAUGGGGAAGGCUUCAAGGAAAAGUGAUGUGUUUAGCUUUGGGAUCAUGCUUCUUGAAGUCUUCACUGGGAAGAGUCCUACGGGUCCCAUGUUCAUUGGAGAAUUCAGCCUCAGGCAGUGGGUAUCCCAAGCAUUUCCAUCAAUGCUCAUGGAUGUUGUGGAUGAGAGGUUCCUACAGCGUGAGGACAUUGAUCACAGAUUUCAUCAGCAAAGCAGUACUACUUGGUCUCCAGCAUCGUCUUCCACACGGUUUGAUGCCAACCUGCUUGUGUCAAUAUUUGAGCUAGGUCUGAUUUGUUCGAGCGAAUCCCCUGAGCAAAGGAUGACAAUGAACGAUGUGGUUUUGAAGCUGAAGGACAUAAAAAAGGAUCACUUUGCCUCUGAAUUGGCAAGGGAAAAGGCCUCAGGCUAA